rnacentral:rRNA from 1 species
GAUGAACGCUGGCGGCGUGCCUAAUACAUGCAAGUCGAGCGAACGGACGAGAAGCUUGCUUCUCUGAUGUUAGCGGCGGACGGGUGAGUAACACGUGGAUAACCUACCUAUAAGACUGGGAUAACUUCGGGAAACCGUAGCUAAUACCGGAUAAUAUUUUGAACCGCAUGGUUCAAAAGUGAAAGACGGUCUUGCUGUCACUUAUAGAUGGAUCCGCGCUGCAUUAGCUAGUUGGUAAGGUAACGGCUUACCAAGGCAACGAUGCAUAGCCGACCUGAGAGGGCGAUCGGCCACACUGGAACUGAGCCACGGUCCAGACUCCUACGGGAGGCAGCAGUAGGGAAUCUUCCGCAAUGGGCGAAAGCCUGACGGAGCAACGCCGCGUGAGUGAUGAAGGUCUUCGGAUCGUAAAACUCUGUUAUUAGGGAAGAACAUAUGUGUAAGUAACUGUGCACAUCUUGACGGUACCUAAUCAGAAAGCCACGGCUAACUACGUG